CCUAACACCACACUGCACUCCUUCCGGCAUCCACUGAGUAGGCAACUGGGCGAUCCAACAAGCACUCCUUCCUCAGGGAAGUGAAGAUGAGCCCUGGAUCCAGAGAGAGCAAACACAGACGCAGAGGCAGAGGGAAAAGCAGACCCCGCUGAGCCGAGAGCCCCACAUGGGGCUCGAUCCCAGCACCUGGAGACCAUGACCUGAGCCAAAAACAGAUGCUUCACAGACUGAGCCACCCAAGGACCCCUCCCAUUUUGAUUGUGUAUUAUUAGAGUUCACCACCUUGAGUUUUUCCUUCCAUUUGAGAUGUCCAUUAUAGUAAAGGACACAAAUCUCAGGUGGCUGGCCAGAGGGAUUUUAGCAUUUGUAUGUAUACUUCUGUGCAACCAAGACCAAGAUCAAGAUACGGAAUGUUUCAAGCUUCCCACAGGCUUCCCCAUGUUUCCUACCAGUCUAUACCCCCACCCCGGGAUGACCACCGAACUGACUUCUAAUUACAAUAGAUUGGUUCAGAAAUUUUGAAUUUCAUAUAAAUGUAAUCAUACA